UGAUACCAGGGUCAAAGGGUCAUGCGUUUCAUGCUUGCAUGAAAAAGCAUGACUUUGGGACCCGCAAAACAUGAGAAAGUAGCCCGAGCAGGGCGGAUUUCGAAUGUUUUUAGGAUUGCGGGAGUACAAAGUGCGGAGCAAUCCGUAGGUAUCA
rnacentral:sRNA from 1 species